rnacentral:rRNA from 1 species
CAGCCGUAAACUAUGCGCGUUAGGUGUAUCGGUGACCACGAGUUACCGAGGUGCCGAAGGGAAACCGUGAAACGUGCCGCCUGGGAAGUACGGCCGCAAGGCUGAAACUUAAAGGAAUUGGCGGGGGAGCACAACAACGGGUGGAGCUUGCGGUUUAAUUGGAUUCAACGCCGGAAAUCUUACCGGGACCGACAGCAACAUGAAGGCCAAGCUGAAGACUUUGCCGGAUUAGCUGAGAGGAGGUGCAUGGCGUAGUCGUGU